UACGUAGGUGACAAGCGUUGUUCGGAAUUAUUGGGCGUAAAGGGCAUGUAGGCGGUUUGAUAAGUGUGAAUUUAAAUACCGGAGCUUAACUCCGCGUUUGGUUUGCAAACUGUCAUACUGGAGCGUAGAAGGGGAGACUGGAAUUCCGCGUGUAGGGGUGAAAUCUGUAGAUAUGCGGAAGAAUACUUGUGGCGAAGGCGAGUCUCUGGUCUAUUGCUGACGCUGAAAUGCGAAAGUGUGGGGAGCAAACAGG
rnacentral:rRNA from 1 species